rnacentral:rRNA from 1 species
AUCCAUGAGUAAAGUGGCGCACGGGUGAGUAACACGUGACUAACCUACCCAGGAGUGGGGAAUAACUGAGGGAAACCUUAGCUAAUACCGCAUAACACCUACGGGUCAAAGGAGCAAUUCGCUUCUGGAGGGGGUCGCGGCCGAUUAGUUAGUUGGCGGGGUAACGGCCCACCAAGACGAUGAUCGGUAUCCGGCCUGAGAGGGCGCACGGACACACUGGAACUGAAACACGGUCCAGACUCCUACGGGAGGCAGCAGUGGGGAAUUUUGCGCAAUGGGGGAAACCCUGACGCAGCAACGCCGCGUGGAGGAUGAAGUCCUUCGGGACGUAAACUCCUUUCGAUCGGGACGAUUAUGACGGUACCGGAAGAAGAAGCCCCGGCUAACUUCGUGCCAGCAGCCGCGGUAAUACGAGGGGGGCGAGCGUUGUUCGGAAUUAUUGGGCGUAAAGGGUGCGUAGGCGGUUUGGUAAGUCUGAUGUGAAAUCUAUGGGCUCAACUCAUAGUCUGCAUCGGAAACUGCCGGGCUUGAGUAUGGGAGAGGUGAGUGGAAUUCCUGGUGUAGCGGUGAAAUGCGUAGAUAUCAGGAGGAACACCUGUGGCGAAAGCGGCUCACUGGACCAUAACUGACGCUGAUGC